rnacentral:rRNA from 1 species
GACGAACGCUGGCGGCGUGCUUAACACAUGCAAGUCGAGCGGAAAGGCCCUUCGGGGUACUCGAGCGGCGAACGGGUGAGUAACACGUGAGUAACCUGCCCCAGACUUUGGGAUAACCCUCGGAAACGGGGGCUAAUACCGGAUACGACACAGCUUCGCAUGGGGUCUGUGUGGAAAGUUUUUCGGUUUGGGAUGGGCUCGCGGCCUAUCAGCUUGUUGGUGGGGUGAUGGCCUACCAAGGCGACGACGGGUAGCCGGCCUGAGAGGGCGACCGGCCACACUGGGACUGAGACACGGCCCAGACUCCUACGGGAGGCAGCAGUGGGGAAUAUUGCACAAUGGGCGGAAGCCUGAUGCAACGACGCCGCGUGAGGGAUGACGGCCUUCGGGUUGUAAACCUCUUUCAGCAGGGACGAAGCGUAAGUGACGGUACCUGCAGAAGAAGCGCCGGCCAACUACGUG